AUUGAACGCUGGCGGCAGGCCUAACACAUGCAAGUCGGACGGUAGCACAGAGGAGCUUGCUCCUCGGGUGACGAGUGGCGGACGGGUGAGUAAUGUCUGGGGAUCUGCCCGAUAGAGAGGGAUAACCACUGGAAACGGUGGCUAAUACCGCAUAACGUCGCAAGACCAAAGAGGGGGACCUUCGGGCCUCUCACUAUCGGAUGAACCCAGAUGGGAUUAGCUAGUAGGCGGGGUAACGGCCCACCUAGGCGACGAUCCCUAGCUGGUCUGAGGGGAUGACCAGCCACACUGGAACUGAGACACGGUCCAGACUCCUACGGGAGGCAGCAUUGGGGAAUAUUGCACGAUGGGCGCAAGCCUGAUGCAGCCAUGCCGCGGGUAUGAAGAAGGCCUUCGGGUUGUAAAGUACUUUCAGCGGGGAGGAAGGCGAUGUGGUUAAUAACCGCGUCGAUUGACGUUACCCGCAGAAGAAGCACCGGCUAACUCCGUGCCAGCCGCCGCUGUAA
rnacentral:rRNA from 1 species